UGUUAAAAUUGUUUUAAUCUACUUAAACUUAGGCUGUGAUAGUUCAAAGUUAGCGGGAAACCUAUACCAAAGUAUACAAUUAAACCCUUUUUUUCUGAAGUUUUUGAUUUUUUAAUGCAUGCAGAAGUGCUACAGGGCUAUUUUUAGUUUAGUCUGGCAAAACAUCAGUUGUUUGCUCAAACUGGAGGCUGUUCUGUUGUUGAUAGAUACUUUUUGUGGCUUGCACUGCGUUUAUCGUGAAAAAGUUGAAUAUAUUUGUCAAAAUUUUGUUCAUUUUUUGUAAAAUAUUGAAUUUUUGGCUCUGCUGGUGAAGAAUCCGCCGUAAAAUUUCAGAUUAGGCUGAUUGGAAAGUGUUAGAGGUUGGUAGUUAAAGGUUAUAAGUUAAGGGGUGGGAACUAUUGAUUAUACAGGUAUUUAUUACGAACAACAGUGUAGCAGCAGCCCUGCUUCACUUGACCAUGGUGUCCUUGCUGUUGGGUAUGGUGCUGAUAAUGGUCAGGAUUCCUGAAUGGUCAAGAACAGCUGGGGCGAAGGCUGGGGUAAACUUAGGGGUUACAUCAAGAUGGCAAAGAACAAAAACAACAACUGUGGCAUUGCUACCCAAGCUAGCUACCCCAUUGUUUAAAACUAAUUUUUAAAUGCUUUUAAACUUGUGUGCAUUUAUUUUACGAAAAAGUUUUUAAUUUCUGUAUGAUCGCUUCCUUUUAAGUGCAAUAAUAAAUUUGAUUUACAUAGCAAUUAUAAACUGUAUUAAACUAAAUAAAAAAGUGCAUAGCUUUACUGAGAAGGCAAAAUUAAUAAACUUCAUUCAAAAGGUUAAAAGUGUGGAAUAUUAAGCGUUCACAUUUGUUAUUUAAAGAAAAUAAAUAUGUACCGCUGAG